rnacentral:rRNA from 1 species
GAUGAACGCUGGCGGCGUGCUUAACACAUGCAAGUCGAACGGAGAAGCAGAGCUUGCUCUGUGGAGCAGUGGCGAACGGGCGAGUAACACGUGAGCAACCAGCCCAUGACUCUGGGAGAAGCGCUGGAAACGGCGUCGAGUACAGGACAUGAGAUGCAACCGAAUGGUCGGCAGAUGGAAGGAAUUUGCGGUCUGGGAUGGUCUCACGGGCUACCGGCUUGUUGGUGAGGUAAGGGAACACCAAGGCGUCGCCUGGUAGCCGGCCUGAGAGGAUGACCGGCCACACUGGGACUGCGACACGGCCCAGUCUCCUACGGGAGGCAGAAGUGGGGAAUUUUGCACAGUGGGCGCGAGCCUGAUGCAGCAACGCCGCGUGCGGGAUGCCGUCCUUCGGGUUGUAAACCUCUUUUUGCAGGGAAGAAGCGAUAGUGACGGUACCUGCAGAAAAAGCGCCGGCUAACUACGUG